UCCCAGUGCCAGUUUCCACAUAAUAAUAACCAUCUAGGUUAUUACCAAAAUUUCUAAGCCUAAACUAAACGCCGAAAAAAAUCUUUAAAAUGCGUAAGAUACUGGGACAAAUCGUUUUUCAUGGCAUUUCCCUAACGCUGCUCAACUUUGUGGUUCAGGAGACGAUACGAUUUCGUAACUCGUAAGAUUUCCCGCAUUUUAUUCCUACCCCGGGUCCGGUCGUCGCUAUAUACAGAUAUAUGUGUGGAAAAUUGGCCUAGUCUGGUUCCUUAUAUUUUAAGAACCACGAUUUUUCAGUCUGCUACGGUUUUAAAAACUUGAUGGUAUUUCAUUAA